CUCCAGCCCCCGGAUGUGAUCCACUGGCAAGGAGGGACAACAAUAAGUCUCUGCAGAACCUAUACGACUAAGAUCCACAGAUUCUUCAUACACCCUGGACAGAACACUGUAACGGUGGAAGAACCCAGCAAAAUGAAGAUAAUAUAGACUUUUGAUUGAUGGUUUGUGUGAGUAAAACAGCAAAUGAAAACUAUAAAAGGGAGAAAAUAAAAACUAGAGUCUAGUGUUGAGCUUAUAACUGAUAUACUUCUAACUGAAUAUUUGUAUUUCCUCCAAAUUCUUCAUAAAUUACUACCUUUUAAUGGAACUGUACAUCUAGAUAAGGUGUCUAAGGAAAUCAUUGAUGUAGAAUGAAGUGGAGUCCUAAUUGGGAAGGAUUAGCUUCCUCCUGAAUAGAGAUGAAGUCUCCAGAGCACACACAGAAAAUGCAGUUAUGAAGCGUUAUGUUCAGAGGAUUGCCUUUUUACUGGUUGGAAACUGUAAAUACUAAUGAAUACUCCCAGUCAUGUAGCAAUGCUCACCAGUGGAUUUUGUUCCACUAUAGUCUACUCAUCAGGUUUAAAUAUUGAAAUAGGUAUAAUGAAA
rnacentral:lncRNA from 1 species